AAAAACGUCGCAAAGCAUGCCAUGGUCACAUCUACUACUCAGGGCUCCCGGAGGCCAAUGCCUUUGUAACCCACAGAGUUCGGAGCCUUUCUUGUGCUACAUCAGCGCACUCAAAUUGUACCCUGGACAAGGAUUAUGCAUACUUCUGCAUUCUAGCACAUACUUGAUACAUGAGAGUGGCAGAUCAUUGCUCUAAGCCCAGGCCAGCUGAGAAGAAAGUGGAAAACAUGGCACCUUAUAUGAGAAAUUUUACAAAGAGAUGACACUAUGAACCAGCCUUUUAGUAUGAUUCAUUUAUUCGUCUUUAUUUUCUAUUUGUUCUUAGCGAAGAAGACAAUCUCUGUGUAUUAACAAAAUUCUAUAUGAUACAUUAGAAAAAUCUUCUUUCCAACAUGGUUAUUCCUCAAAUGUUCUGGAAGAUAUAAAGUUUGGUCACAGGGUUUUUUCUCACUUAGCUGGAGGAAAAAAAUGGAGACACUAAGACAUAAAGUAAGUUGUCUUACUCUAGGAAUUAGCUUUUAGAGAUUUCUGAUUCCCUGUUUAAUACUCUGGGUCCGAAUAACAUGAAAGUAAAAAUAACUAGAGAACUGAUGACUUGUUUCUGGUAAGUAUUGUCAUGUCUCACUGAAAAUUUUAAAUUUCGGUAUUUUCAAUUAAUUCAUGAAAGCUAUGCAAGCCUAUUUUUUUCCAAGUUCAAUCAUAGAGUGUCAACUGCAGGAGUUAUAUACAGGGUAUAUAUUGAAGCGUUUUGUUGACAGAACGAAUCCAGACCAGUUUUGAACUCCAUUGAUGAACAAAUUUAUGACACUCUUUUCAAGGGGCAUAAAAAGAGGAAUCUCUUUGUCAGAAUUAACCAAUCCAGAACAGUUUUCUUUCAAAAACUGUUUUAAAUUCAUUUUCUUUUUAAAACUUUUUGUUAUGGGAGGUUUAAAUAUACCAAAAGGUAGAAAGAAUAAUAAAAAUGUACCCAACUUCCACCUUUAUGAACCGUCAUCCAGCUUCAACAUAUGGCCAAUCUUGUAAAGCCUCAUUUUUAAUCGAUAUUAGUAGCCAGUAAAAUUAAACUCACAUUAUACGCCAAAAAACUUUAAUGUUCAAAUCUAGCAUGUUUCUUUAUAUAUUUUUUCCUAAAAUAAUUUUAUUUUCAUCAGACACUUUUCUUUCUCACUCUUAAAUCUCUCCCACUUCUCCUCUGAGGCCAGCCCCUUUCAUGGUCAAUGCUGGAGGAAAAGUACUUAAGAAGAAGAGGAAGAGGCAGAUUUUAAAUUUAUUAAUUUUUCUCUUCCUAUGACACCAUGCCUUCCUCCCUUUGCCUAAAAUGCGGCAGGAAAAUAGUGGUAUUGAGAAGCAAGGCGUUUCCAACAACAGAACUGAAUCUUUGUCCAUUUGCCCCAACAAUACAGCAAGUGGCAGAAUGAGAGAAUGACCCACUCUAUUCUUGAUAAGAAAGGGAGAGAGAGCCCCAGUGACAAAUAUUACAACCCAAAUGUUUCAAGGUGGGGAGUUUCUUGUAUGUAAUUGGUUAUUUAUUCAAUUUAUUUUCUAUAUAUACAAAUUAAAAAUUUUUCAGAGUGCAAAUAGUUUGCUGUAUAGAAUGAUUACUUUAAGGUUUAUCAAUACCAGUUUGUAGCCAAAUCAUACCCAUAGGUGACCUAAAAUAAUAAUAAUUUUUUAAAAAGUAAUAAAUUAGAUUGGUGUGGUUGAGUAGAAGUUAUAUGGCUUUAACAAAACUUUGGUUUUUUCUUUCCUAUUGUUCUCCAUGGUAAAAACAGCAAAAUUCCUACCUAGAUGGUAACACUUGUACCAUUCGCUUAAUUUCAGGAUCCUUGAUUGCUCUUGGGAACAAGUAUACUGCUGUGGCAUGAAGUGGAAGGUAUAAUUUGGAGCCAGAUGAGAGAAAAAAGGCUCCUUUCAGAAGUAAUAUAUUCAUAUAAAUUCUAAAGUAUCAAAAAAAGCUUAAUAAUUUCACCAAGUAAUCUAAAGCUAAAUUUCAUAUGCAAGUUCCUCACAGAACUAUAACAAACUUUGUGGAACUCAAGCCCACCAUGGAAAAAGGUUUCAAAACCUCUUUUAAAACAAGUGCGUUAGGGAUAGCAAGCCACAAAGGGUAACAGAGUGUUACUCAUUGUCGUAUUUGCUUUAUCACCCGUGAUAACUUGUUUUGCAUUCAGAAAAGACUUAGAGAAAUGUAAGGACGAAUACUUAUCAUGAUUCAUUCCCAUGUGGACUUUUAGAGUCCAAGAUGAUAGCCUUCCUUUUUCCUUCAACAGCCAGGCUCUGAAAGGAAUCUAGAGAGCGCAGCACACAGGAGUGGCCCUCAGUCAAAACGGGGCUCAUUUCCAGCUCCGCAUAAGUGCGUCUACACGUGACGUUGAAGGGAGUGAGCAAAAUAAAUCUCCUUAAAUAUUACGUGGUGCCAAUGACCCUACCUCACUAUUGAAGAAAUAAACUGCAUUUCUUCCUCAGCGUAUUCACACGGAAUCUCUGAGAUACAGGGAUAUGGUUAUUCAGUCAGAAAAAGCAUUUGUUUAUUUAAGAGAAGUGAGCGCUUCAUAGGAAAACUUUCAACUUAACAGAGGGGGAAAAUAACUUUUAAAAAGAAUCAAGCCAGUCAACCUAAGGAAAAGGGGGGAAAAGGAAACAACAAUGAAGUAUAAUAAGUAAUAAAAAUAAAAAGGAAAGAAUAAAAAUAAAUAUAUCAGCUACUGCUAAAAAGUUGAAUGAGUCCAAUUUCCCUUUCAAAGGACAAACUUUCAGAUGGGGCUUAAAAAAAACAAAAUUAAGCUAUGUAUAAGAAACUCACUUCAAAUAAAGUGACAAAGAAAGGUUGAAAAUAAGUGGUUGGGCAGAUAUAUGUCAGGCAAAUCCAAAAGCAGGAGUGGCAAUACUAAUAUCGAAUUCAAGGACAGAAGCAUAAAAUAGGAAGAGGGUGCAAUGAUUAAAGGCACUGUGGCAGAGACUGCUGAUACCUAUGUAAUGUCUAUUCCUCCUCACCCUUGCUAACAAAACCUCAAUUUAAUUUGGCACAGCAAUGUGUCCAGAUAAAAACAAUUUUCCCUUCCUCUUUUACAAUUGGAGGUAGAGUAUAAGUUGUAAGCAGAGGUUAGUGGGUGGGGCUUGUUGAAGUCUAAUUCAUCUGGAAGCUACUCCUUUCUGAACGUGUUUUUCCUCCUUCUUGACUGGAAUAUGUAUGUUGUGGCUGGAGAUGCAGCAGCCAUCUUGCAACCACGACUUGUAGAAUGGGCACCACAUACUAAAUUUGGCAGAGCAGAAAGACAAACGGACCUUGCAUUCCAGAUGACCAUGGAGCCACUAUAUCAGCCCUGAACUUCUCACCAUCAGGCUGGCAGAUUUCUACAAAUCAAGUGAGAAGAGCAGCAACUUUGUGAGAAAUCAGAGACCCCAGGAGAAGCUGUUCUUCUCUGACCUCUCAGACCAAGGACAGCUCCACCAGUUAAAUACUCUCAGGGCUGAAAAUAUUCUUACAGUGAAGGGACGAUUACAGCACAGGCUGAUGGGGAAAAGGGUUGUGAGGGAAGCACAGACUAUUCCAAGAAAAACAUACUCUCUCAGACUUUCUAGAUCUAAAAUUUCAACUCUCACUGAACGACUUCGCCAGUGGAAUUGAUCACUGGCGUAACAGCCACAGCAAUUCGAAAACCUUUCACUUUUCCUUUUAACAUAAAAAUUAUAAAGUCUAACUUGACAUUCCCUUUAAAAAAGUUAUUUUCUCAGAUCACAGAGAAGGCAAAACAACCAAUGUUACAUAUCUUGUGUUUAAUUUUAAAUACUGUCUCUUGAAUAAUUUACUUACUACUUCUUUGCCUCAGUUUAUCUAUCUAUAAAAUGAGUGUAACAAUAGUGCCUAUUUUUUUGGAUUCUGAACAUUAAAUUGAAAUAAUCAAGUGCA